rnacentral:rRNA from 1 species
UACGGGGGGGGCAAGCGUUGUUCGGAAUUACUGGGCGUAAAGGGCUCGUAGGCGGCCAACUAAGUCGGACGUGAAAUCCCUCGGCUUAACCGGGGAACUGCGUCCGAUACUGGAUGGCUUGAGUUCGGGAGAGGGAUGCGGAAUUCCAGGUGUAGCGGUGAAAUGCGUAGAUAUCAGGAGGAACACCGGUGGUGUAGACGGCUCUCUGGACCAUAACUGACGCUGAGACACGAAAGCGUGGGUAGCAAACAGG